UACGUAGGGCGCAAGCGUUAUCCGGAAUUAUUGGGCGUAAAGAGCUCGUAGGCGGUUUGUCGCGUCUGACGUGAAAGUUCGGGGCUCAACUCCGGAUCUGCGGUGGGUACGGGCAGACUAGAGUGAUGUAGGGGAGACUGGAAUUCCUGGUGUAGCGGUGAAAUGCGCAGAUAUCAGGAGGAACACCGAUGGCGAAGGCAGGUCUCUGGGCAUUAACUGACGCUGAGGAGCGAAAGCAUGGGGAGCGAACAGG
rnacentral:rRNA from 1 species